rnacentral:rRNA from 1 species
UACGGAGGGUGCAAACGUUGCUCGGAAUCAUUGGGCGUAAAGCGCACGUAGGCGGUCCGUUAAGUCGGGUGUGAAAUCCCUCGGCUCAACCGAGGAAGUGCAUUCGAAACUGGCGGACUUGAAUAUGGAAGAGGGUCGUGGAAUUCCCGGUGUAGAGGUGAAAUUCGUAGAUAUCGGGAGGAACACCAGUGGCGAAGGCGGCGACCUGGGCCAAUAUUGACGCUGAGGUGCGAAAGCGUGGGGAGCAAACCGG